GCGUGAGUGAUGAAGGCCUUCGGGUUGUAAAACUCUUUCGCGCACGACGAUAAUGACGGUAGUGCGAGAAGAAGCUCCGGCUAACUUCGUGCCAGCAGCCGCGGUAAUACGAAGGGGGCUAGCGUUGUUCGGAAUUACUGGGCGUAAAGCGCGCGCAGGCGGCUAUCCAAGUCAGUGGUGAAAGCCCGGAGCUCAACUCCGGAACUGCCAUUGAAACUGUUUAGCUUGAGUAUGAGAGAGGUGAGUGGAAUUCCCAGUGUAGAGGUGAAAUUCGU
rnacentral:rRNA from 1 species